rnacentral:lncRNA from 7 species
AGCACUACGUCUUCCCACAGCUUCCAGACAAACCUCAGCAAAGCCCUCCACUCCCCCCAGCCUCCCAGACAAGUUUGCAGGCAUGAAAUGCACGUUUGUGUGGUGAGAUGUGCCUGGCAGUGCUCUGUGGUUACCUGUUUGAGGAGAGACAGCCAUUUUGCCAGGGAAGCUCCUUGAUGAAAGCCUCGAGCAGACCUCCUUGUGUUGGGAAACAUAACUGAGCCCAUAAAAAGAAAUCUGCUGUAGCUGUCCCAUUGGAACUGAGUCUGGUGUGCAGGUGGAGGUCACGAUGCCAGCUGUGAUGAGUAGAUAUGCUGCUAUUGUCUACCAUGAAUUAUUGCCUGGGGAUGUACAGGAGAUGGGGAGAUAUUUGACUGCAUCCCCUCUGAUUAUAGCAGUGAGCAAGGCAAAUGGAUGGAAUACAGAUGAGAGAAGUAAUUGAAGCCAUGUUCCUCCAAGGCAUUUAAGCAGCUUUUCCAAACCUUUGAGAAUCUCAGCAUUUCAGCAAAGGAAGGAUGUGAUUCUGUGUUGGGGAGAAGGCUGUAACGCAGGGAGCUGUGAGCUGACAUCUCUUCCCAACAGCCAACACUCGUGUCCUGAAGAUGGACCCAGCACCUGACCAGUCCCAUCCUCUGCAAAUCCACCUGCACUGUGCCAUGAGACCACUGUGUACCCUCAGCCCAAUCUGUAACUUCUUCAAGGAAGAAGGAGUCAAGUCUGGGAAAAUGAUGGAGAAUUGGCUUUCAUGCUCCAGAGUACAUGCUGAUUCUCAGGGGGCAAGGACUGAACUCUGGUCAACUACUGAUGCCUACCUCUAACCAUACUGGUAGCAGAAUCACUGAUGAUGCCUGAAAGGCUGCUGCUGGUGAACAUUGCCACCAACAGGAUUGUGUGCUGGAGUGUCUUCUCUGGGCCUGCAGGCAUCUCAGUGCACAAUAUGAUGGACAAGUUGGCAUCCUUACUUCUUCAGAUGUUAUCUAUGACACGUGAACAGCAUGUUGUCCCCUUCCUUCUCGUGUCCCUAAUGGAUCUCAGUGCAUUAACAUCACCCCGUGUUAUGCUGACGUACCGGAUGGCGUCAGAGGUUGUGCAGGAAUGGGACUUUGACACGUAGGGAGCAGACAAUAAACAUUCAUGUUGGAGU